CCCACACCACCACCAGAGCUGUUAUCAUCUUCCUGUCUUCCAUCUGACUGCGCUACGGAGUUUUCCACAGACGCAUAUAUACUUUGUUGAGCUUUCUCUCAUGCUCAUGGAAUACAGAUGGCAUGAAGGAAGCACUGCAUUCUGAUUCUACUAUUAAAGCAUUUGUCAUAAUUGCAUAUAAAAAUAAAUAGUUAUUUUACUAUCUCAGUAGGUGGUAGUAGAAUAUCCAAAAUAUAAGAUAUACAGUAGAUAACUUUUUCUGUGAAAUGCUAUAUCUGAUAAAUCUGGCAGCCGCAGCUGGAGUUCAUAAUAUCUCCCCAUUACUUAAUCUAAAAGUGACAUGGGAGUUGCACAGUAGUAGAUGGUGUGUGGGAUAUUGUGUGCUGAGGACAGGCAGCAUUUGUCACUGGAAAUAGGGAGUGGAGUUUAGGUCUGUCCACAAUCUUUCUGUGGCUUUAUACUGUAAAUGUACAAGAAAAUAAAAUGUCUAGCCUGUGUGAAA